UAAGGCUGGCUUUGGAAUGAAGUAGGAAGAAACAUGAAAGUGAAAGAAAAAGUUAUUGAAGAUGCUGCUCUGGGGCAAGUUUGAGAGGUCUUGACUUCAGUUUCAAGAAUGUUCAGAGGAAAACUCUGCCAUGUGUCCAGCACACGCGCCUCAGGAAGCGCCUGAAGAGGACUUAGGGGCUGGGCCUUUGCAUGUCUCCCAAGCCCAUGACAAGAUGACCUCUUCUCACGAUCCAUCAUUACAUGAUAACAUGGACCACGUCUCAGGGAGCAUAAGAACAUAUGUCCCAGUCAAGACAAGUGGACUGUGUAGCCCUUAAAGAAAGCAAGAAUAUCAUUGCUGGAAGAUUGAUACAGCUGAGACCCAAAGCAAGUUGGAAGAAAGCCACCAG